UGUAAGUUGUUGCAGGUAUCUUACGACUGUGCCUACUUCAAUGUGAGCCAGAUGCCUCAAUAUAUGCAAUCUGAAGCUGCUGGUUACUCUACCCACAUUAGGCAACCCGAAUGAUGAAUCCCCAUCUAUGACAACGUUGGCCGUAUGAUUUCUUAGGGUGCAGUUCUUUCGAGGGUGAUUGUUGCUGGGAUUGUUAUGGCUACAUUGCCUACCUAAACAUAGUUUCAUCUUGCCAUCUGCGGUGAGUUUUUCUCUGUUAUUUUACUAUUCUUGCCUUUAUUUAGGCCUAACACGUGCUGAUUAUCAGCAUUUAUUCAUAUAUUUGGUUAUCUAAAAUCACAGGCUUUGCUGUUCUUAAAAGAAGUAUGGAGCUUAUAUUGAGAUGGCUGCAUGAAACAAUGUAUUGUCCAUAACUUGCUUCAAACCAAGUGGACGCAUGAAUGUUCGGUGUUACUUAUGGCUUUUUCUUAGUUAAGCACUAUGAAAUAUCUGUGUAGAAGGUACAUUUAUAAAGUUAUAUUCUCUACAUGGUUAAUCCUUCAUGGUGUAUCACUUCGUAUAUUUAGCACAACUAACCAGAAAGACUGUAUGGUUAUUUCUAGGCUUAUUACAAUUGUACAUCUGAAAAUGUAGAAAAGAAGCAAUUUUUUCAUUACAUUUGUUAUU